UCCGAUUCUUCCGGAAGGUGUGAAUCCAGAGUAGAAGCUGCGCCGGUCCGCUGCUCUUUUUGCCCUUUGGGUCUGUGAUUUCUGUUCAGCUAAAAAUAGAUACGAAAAGAAAGCCCGCUCCUAUGCUCCAGUUCGCCUUUCCAGGAAUGCCCCCAAUCUUACAGCCGGUACUGCUGCUCGUGGCCCUAGAGAUGACACCAUGCAUGUGACAUGUGACCCUCGCCUCGAGAAAACACCAACAGUUUUGAGACCGGACGUCUCAGAAUCUGACAUCUUCAAAAGGUUCAUCAGAACUCCUCUACAUUUGCGAACACUCUCAAAGCAAACAAGCGUCUCGAAUGUGUGGUUUGAGAAGAAAUUUUUAAGGAGGAAUCUUCCCCUAGUGCCUGGUGCGCAUUUUAAAUGAAUUGAAGGCUAUUGACUGAUACUGAGGAUAUAUAUAUUGCUGAGAUUAGAAAAACAUGUUUUUAUGUCAUAUGGUUUCAACAGUCCUUACAAAAUCAUACACGUGUUUCUGCUUUUCGUGCAGAAGCACCUAGUUAUGAAUUCCUCCCUAUAUAUAGAAAAAUUAGAGCUCUUGUUACUAGCUUUUUACCAAGGACUCCUCACUCAGUUACAUAAUGUUGGACUCCAUCUCAGAAUAAUACUUAUAAAUAUACAAAAAAUAAAUAUUAUACAUAUUUAUUUAUAAAUAUUUAAUUUUAUAUUUAUAAAUAUUUAAUUUUAUAAAUAUAAAUGUUUAUUUAUAAAUAUUAAAGAUUUCCAAAAGCAUUAUAUUAAAACAUGCUAACAUUUUAAAAUUAUAGCAUAUCUGUGCUCAUUUUUUGUGAGUGGCUCCUUUAUUAA